UGGCGCUGAAUCGAAAGCCGCUCCAAGGGCCACUUCGGUAGAACACCGAUGAGCCAUUCCAUAUUUGCAUUUCGGGGAUGUUGCUUCUCGCCACGCCAUAAGCGAAGUGACCAGAAGAUGGGUCUUCCCAAUUGUUCCAAGAAGUGAGGUACCUGUUGAGACUCGUUGUUACUUCCCUCUUCUAACUUACAUGUGAAUUUAGUCACUCUUCUAACUUUCCGGUGCUCAAAAAAACUCGCUAUAUGUUAAUUUUAAACAUUAUAGAAAGAUUAAUUAAAUUCACAUAUUUUUGAAAGUUGGAGGACUAAUUCAUCAGUUUGAAAGCAUAAGAACACUAAAACUAACUUUAAACGAAAGUAUAAGGAAAAAAAAACACUUUUUUAUUAUUUAUAUAAAAUUCAACAGUGAGGUACCUGUUGAGACCCGUUGCUACUUCCCAUCCUAUCUUCAUUCCUGGUAAAAGUGUAUCCGUAGGAUAGUCAAAGCUCUGCCACAAAUAGUUUUGGGAGUUGUUGUCUUUCUCAUCUAUUAGGACCAAGUUGCCUGUGUCCAAAAGCUGCGCUACGGCGUUGAACGAUUUUUCUGUUGCAUUUGUUGUCCAGUGGACGGUGUCGUUCACGGUGAGAAGGACGAGGUUUCCAUCUUUGGUUAUGGUUAACUUGGUGUUGGUGUUGUUGGUGUUGCUUUUGAUUGGGUUGUCGCGGUUGGCAACCCAAACGAUGGUUUUUACUGGGAUGUUUUUGAACCAGAUUCCUAGGUAGCGGUUGGUGGAGCUACCUGGGCUGAAGAAACCCAACUCAAAGGUUCCUUCUUUGGAAACCAAGGUUGUUCCAUCAGAAAGUGGCUGAAACUGGGUGAGUGUGUCCGUUUCAGAGGAAAUUUUGGAUGAGAAGAGAAGAAGUAGGAUGGCUAUGAGAAGCAUUAAAGGUAGUUGAAUGGCCAUUUUGUGUUAAUUGCGUGCUGCGCAUGGAAUCGCAAUUGGAAAUGAAAUAUGCACUGAAUUGAAGAAAUGUUGGGUAAUAUUAAGAGGAAGGGUACAGCGCAGCCACAUUGGUCGGUUCACUGUGCACCAGUUGACUUUAAUAAAUAUUACAAUUUUAAAAAAUGGUCCUUAACUAUACAGUCUUAGCCGCCACAAUGUCAGAUUUUUUACACACCGUGAUUGCAAUUGUGCAAUGUCAAGGAUAUAUUACAAUGAAUUCGCAUCUACAAUCUAAUACCUUGGUGCAGCGGUCCUUGUGAUACUUUUGGCAUACUCUUACAUUUACAUGACAAAAAAUGUCAAAGAGUAAAAAUAAAUUUUGUUUAUUCUUUUCUUAAUUAGUCAGAGUUAUACUUACAACCUUCCUGUUUUUCUUCGUUUUUUUUUUUUCUCAAUAGCUUCAUGUUGUUAGUAGGCUAAAGAAAACUGAUGACCUAUAUGUUAAAAUUUCUCAGCUACAAAAGGUACAUGGCUAGAGUUACACAGAUGAGAUUUUAAUCAAAAGGCUUUUUAGGGAGCUAUGAAUAAGGACAAAACUGGCCACGAGAGUUUGGAAGUGUCUGGAAAGUAUGUAAUGGUGUGCAGAUAAUGAAGGGGCGUGGCAGAGUUUUUUUGACAUAGGUGUUCAUAUGAUAUGGACCUUGCGUGUAUUGUCGACACUAGAAAGUCUCUGGGUGUGACUGAACUUCAUUAAUCUUCCUGCAGGGUACAUCUUGUAAAACGUUUUUUUCUGGGGGUACAUCUUAUACCUUUCCUUGCUUAAA
rnacentral:lncRNA from 1 species